rnacentral:lncRNA from 1 species
UCGAGCCCGGCCCCGCCCUCUCCAGGGCCCGCCUAUCGCCAGGCCCCGCCCACCGCGCGCAGCAGUUAGCUUAGCAACUGGGCGCGAAAGAAGGCCGCAGGAACACGGAAGGCGUGUCCGUGCGAGCGCUGCGCGCGUGCGCCCAGAGAAGCAGGCAGGGUGAGGGGCUGUACCCAGGGUCUGAGAAGCGGAAGUGUAAGGGGCAAGGGUCCUGCCUUCUAGUGCCCCCACACUUGGAGUGCGCGAUGAGGGCGAAGGGGGAGUUGGGGUCGCGGGGGAAGCUGCCGCCCGGAUCCGGGCCUGGGUGCGGUUGACUUGUCUGUGUAUGUGUCCAGGGAGACAUGGAAUACUGCCUGGCGGCCGCGGCGCUGAACGCGGUGGACCGGCGCUCGCUACAGCGCUCUGCUCGGCUCGGGAGGGAAGUAUUGGAGCGCGCCAAGAGAAGGGCUGUGGACUGGCAUUCUCCAGAGCGAUCCAGAGGCUGCGUGGGGGUCCUUUACGGCCAGGACCCCUACCAGGAACGAUGGUCGGUCCCGGGUCCCCAGAGCCUCCUAGGAGAGGCAGAGAGAAGAAAGGCGCCCAACCCUUAGUACUUCCUUCAGGACAAUGGCAGAAUUCAUGGACUAUACUUCAAGUCAGUGUGGGAAAUACUACUUGUCUACACCGGAGGAAGGAGGGGCAACCCACGUCUACCGUUAUCACAGAAGGAAGCCUGCAGAAGUGCACGUGUGCUCAGACUCGGGGCACAGGGAAGCGCAAAGAAACUGCAGAGGAGAGACAUCUGUUGGUCCAGGAAGCAUCUAUCAAACAUCAGAGCAUUCUCAAGAGUCAUCUUGGCCUAUUGAGAACAUCUCUAAGGACCUCUACAUAGAAGUCUAUCCAGGGACCUAUUCUGUCACUGUGGGCUCAGGUGCCUUAAGCAAGAAGACGCAUGUGGUUGCAGUUGACUCGGGGCAAAGUGUGGACUUGGUGUUCCCCGUAUGAUGUUGACAUCACUGCCAUCAUUUCACUCUAAGAAGAAGAAUAAAACCACCCUAUAACUGUCUU